GCCCUCGUGGCGGAACUGGCAUACGCGUGGCGCUUAGGACGCCAUUCCAAAAGGAUUGCAGGUUCGAGUCCUGCCGAGGGCA
rnacentral:tRNA from 1 species